GUGGACGCCAGUCUGCAUGGAGCCGGCCUUGAAAUACCACCCUUUAAUGUUUGAUGUUCUAACGUGGACCCGUAAUCCGGGUUGCGGACAGUGUCUGGUGGGUAGUUUGACUGGGGCGGUCUCCUCCUAAAGAGUAACGGAGGAGCACGAAGGUUGGCUAAUCCUGGUCGGACAUCAGGAGGUUAGUGCAAUGGCAUAAGCCAGCUUGACUGCGAGCGUGACGGCGCGAGCAGGUGCGAAAGCAGGUCAUAGUGAUCCGGUGGUUCUGAAUGGAAGGGCCAUCGCUCAACGGAUAAAAGGUACUCCGGGGAUAACAGGCUGAUACCGCCCAAGAGUUCAUAUCGACGGCGGUGUUUGGCACCUCGAUGUCGGCUCAUCACAUCCUGGGGCUGAAGUAGGUCCCAAGGGUAUGGCUGUUCGCCAUUUAAAGUGGUACGCGAGCUGGGUUUAGAACGUCGUGAGACAGUUCGGUCCCUAUCUGCCGUGGGCGCUGGAGAACUGAGGGGGGCUGCUCCUAGUACGAGAGGACCGGAGUGGACGCAUCACUGGUGUUCGGGUUGUCAUGCCAAUGGCACUGCCCGGUAGCUAAAUGCGGAAGAGAUAAGUGCUGAAAGCAUCUAAGCACGAAACUUGCCCCGA
rnacentral:rRNA from 3 species